rnacentral:lncRNA from 1 species
UUCCCGGAAAGAUACACAGUUAUAAUAGAAAAUGAUUUUUGAACCAUACUCAAAAAUACUACAGAAAGUUGCAACCAUGCUGCAGAAUAAGAGUAAAAAUAGAGGGAAAGGCAUAAUUUCAGGCUUACACAAGGCAGCAGGGGAGGCGAAAUUCCUAAUCCUGGCAUCAGCCCCGCAGCCAGUGCCAGCCCCACAGCCCUCCAGGUCAGACCUGAGGCUCUCAUCUCACAGGCCUCUGG